rnacentral:snoRNA from 1 species
UCGCGAAGAUCCCAGCAGAGAGGUGUGUUGCACUCCAUGGUUGAGGCCUCUCUAACAAAUCUUAAUCUUCGCAUAGGAAGGCCGUGAAUUCGUGGAUGUGUGAUCGGUUUAUGGUUCCAUUACAUCUGUAGCCACGGAUACAUCUUC